GAGAAGUGACAUCAUGAGCCUCUGCUUUGUCAUUCAUUCCAUGCAAAGAUUGUUGACAGUGAAAUUCCAGGUCUUCCAUAUGUUUAUGUCAACCUCAGUUAUCAACCUCUCUAGUCUUCCUUGUCAUUUCAUAGUCAACAACAGUCUGGGCAGGAGGCACUUGUACGACAUUUUUGGUGAGACAAUGGUCUCUGGAACAAGCCUCAUCCUAACCCUUUGGGGAAGAAGGAUUCAUUCCUUUAGUAACUGGCAGCAGGACUGUAGAGAACAAAGAGAACUCUAGACUCUCCUUAUUAAAUGAUGGGUUUUCUGUAUCUACCUGAUAGAGUUGUUUUGUAUCCUGUGGGGGCUUAAGAUCUGUUAUGGCUUUGGCUUUUCUGAGCUUGGUUGAAUGCCAUGUUGAGUCACAAAGUAGCCCAGAAACUCAAUCUCACACCUCUCUCUGUGAGGCCUAAAUCCAGAUGCAGGAACAGAAGAUAGGAUUAAGUACAUUUUCCCUGUUGAUUUGUUUUCUAUACAAGGAUAUCAUUUAUGAAGAACCUCAUACCCACUGUGUUCAGAUAAGAGCUCCGGUUAUCUUCCUUUGAAAGAUUGCUGAGCUUGGCCAAUGAAAUCCAGGAUCCCACAUCAUUCCGGUUUAUUGUACAAAAUUAUUCCAGACUGAUUCACGAGAACGCUAAAAGACUGGGCAUCCCUCUUAAAUGAUUUGUUCCUGGGAAUCAUGGAACUCGGCCCUCAGUGGACAUUCUCUGGUCACACCUAUCAGAAUUUAUCUGGCACUCUGCUCUGCCUCAGAUCAUGGAAUCUCAACAGAAGCUCACCUAAAAUAACAUCUGUUUGGAAUCUCUGAGAAACAUUGGUGAGAGAAGUAGGUAUUCUAUAAUUAUGUCCAUUUUACAGAUGGAAAAAAAGAGACAGAAAAGUUAAGGGAUUUGCUGGUGGUUCACAAGGUUAAUAAGUAAUUCAGUUCAACAAAUAUUUAUCAAGUGCCUGCUUUAUGCCAGGCAUUAUGGUAGGUGCUGGACAUACAAAAAUGAAAGCAAAAGUAAUAAAUGUGUUACAUAUUGUAUAUCUACAUAGAUAUAUCUACAUAGAUAUAAUAUAUAUAUGUGGAGAGAGAGAGGGAGAAAAAAAGAGAAAGAGAGAGAGAGAGAUGAUAGGAUCAAAUCAAUAGAAUAAAAUCAUCUAGUCUAGUUCCAUUGUACAGAAGAAACUGAGGCCCAGAGAGUUAAGUGACUUGCCCAAAGUCACAAAGGCAGUAAAAUGGAAGAACUGUAUGAUUUGAACGCAAAUCCUAUGACUCCAGGUUCAGUGCUCUUUCCCCUGCCCCUGCUCUCAAGCAGCUUACAUCCUACCUUCCAGAUAUUGAAGGUCUUCCCAUUGUAUCAUGUUGCUGGUAUUCAAAGAUAUUGAGAAAACAACACCAUUUUCCCUUUGUUCUGGUGAUACUCAUGGAAUCCAAUCUUUCCCACAGUUAGCAUUAUGUUAGGACCCAGCAUUCUUCAUAUUUUCCUGAUACUGCAUCAUAAUCAUUAUGUUCCACCACCACCCCCCAGUCCCAACUAAAGGCAAGAGAUGUCCUAUAUUUCAUUAUAUUAUAGCUCAAAUAAGUCCUUGGUUUGCAUCACCUCAGGUUCUUCAUACAGUUUUACUAGCUGUUGCCUUUAUUUUGAUCAGUAUGAAAAACUGGUAACACAUGGGGCUUUGGAAGAUUUAAAGUAGGGUCCUGGGUUAACCCAGGCCAUUUGCCCCUAAGCAAAUGUCCUAGUCUCAGCAGAGAUUCUAGCUAAAGACCUAAAACCCUUCUGUUCCUUUCUUUCCUUUCUUUCCUUCUGAUGCUUAAUGUUAAAUUGGUAGAAGUGUUCAUUAAAGUAGUAAGAGACAGGCUUGUUGACAGAUACUAUGUGAAGAUGAGGGCUACUAAAUUGAGGCUAGCCAAGAACUUGGACACAGCCUAAGGGUAAACUUAUCAAUUGUUUUUUGUAGGCUGCAAUGAUUCAGUAGAACACAUUAGAAAACCUGGAUUCAGAUACCAGCUCUAUCAUUUCCUUGCCUAAGUGGUCUUAGGCAAAUCACUUCUUUGGGACUCCUUUUCCUUAUCUCUAAAAUGGGAAGGUCCAACAAAAGACUUUUCAAGGUCUCUUUCAAGUCUAAAUUUGUGAUUAACAUAAGAUAAAACUUUAGACUCAGUGAUGGUGAACCUUUUAGAGAGGGAGUGCCCAAAUUGAAACCCUCCCAUGGCAUGAGCUCCCUCUCCCCUCUUACCCCAGACAGGGGAGGAAAGAAGCACUCCCAUUGGGCUGCUGGGCAGAGGGCCAGAUCAUGUAAGAAAUAUCCUCAGGAGCUUGUGGAGAGGGGUAGGGAGCAGCCCCCUCUGGCACAGGUGCCAUAGGUUUGCCAAUACAGCCUGUGACAACAACUUUAUGGGGCAAAUGGAUACUCCAGAAAAACUAAGAAAUUAUUCUGAGAAACUGUGAAAGAGGCAUAAAGAGAGGAUUUACAAGGCAAGUUUCUUCUUGCAGAUCUUCUAUACUGCUAAAAAUCAUAGAUCCUACUCUACCACUAGUCUGAGAUUUAUGUUUAUCUCCAUUCUCAUUUGACUGGGUAGAGAUAAGAAUCUUUCCCUCAAUUUUAUUAUUUUCUUCAGGGAAUAAGUUGGCAUGUCCCCCUGCACCAUCAGUAGGAUGUGUGCCUUCAAUCAGUCCCACAGCACAAACAGGUUUCUGGAUUUGUAGCUAAGGUGUUCAUAACCACUGACUCAGUGUCCACAUCUUACUUGUCCAUGUUAAGAUACCAUCUUCACCUUGAUUGACAGAUCAAGUCCUUUACUUUGGUUUGCAUGCUUGUCUUGUCUUGUAAAUCCUCUCUUUCUUCAUGCCUCUUCCACAGAAACAGAAGAAAAGGAAUCUUGGAAAUUUUCAAAUAGGAAAUUAUCUGAGCCAUAAUUAGGAUUUGUGCUUUUGGCCAAAGUUUGGGGCUAUUCCUUGCAUAACUAAGCCAGCUCAUCUAUUUUUGACAAAAAUGUCACCCCAAAUUAUAAAAACCAAGAUAGUUGAUUAGGGAUACACCUUUAGGAUACUUGUAGAAUACUUAGCCAUUCAAGGUAGCAUCCAAAGCCUUAUAUAAACUCCUCCAACUAACAUUUCUAGUUUCUAGUCUCUUCCACAGUUCUACGUACAAUCCCUUUUCUAACUAGACUAGACUAUUUAUUGGCAGUUAUGUGGCACAUAACUCAUUUCCUGAGUUCAAAUCCAGCUUCAGAGAUGUAAGAGCUGUGUGACACUGUGCAAGUCACUUAACCUUAUUUGCCUCAGUUUCCUUAUCUAUAAAAUGAGUUUGAGAAGGAAAUAGCAAACUACUCUAGUAUCUCUGACAAGAAAACUCCAAGUGGAGGAGUCAUAAAGAAUCAGACAGAACUAAAUAGCAAUACCUCAUCCAUUCAUUGUCCUCAAAACACAUCUUUCACAUUCCCACAUAUCCUUUUCUUACCCAUGCCUCCACACUCUAUUCUCAAUUUUAAAUGCCGAUUAUCUAAUAUAUGUAUAACCCAGUGGAAUUGCUUGUCAACUCUGGGAGGGGAGAGCGACAAGGGGAGGGAGACAACAUGAAUCAUGUAACAUGGGAAAAAUUUUUAAAUUAAAUUUAAAAUAAAAAAAUUGGA